UACGUAGGGCGCAAGCGUUGUCCGGAAUUAUUGGGCGUAAAGAGCUCGUAGGCGGUCUGUCGCGUCGGCUGUGAAAACCCGAGGCUCAACCUCGGGCCUGCAGUCGAUACGGGCAUCGCUGGAGUGCGGCAGGGGAGACUGGAAUUCCUGGUGUAGCGGUGGAAUGCGCAGAUAUCAGGAGGAACACCGGUGGCGAAGGCGGGUCUCUGGGCCGUUACUGACGCUGAGGAGCGAAAGCGUGGGGAGCGAACAGG
rnacentral:rRNA from 1 species